AGAGAAUAUAGAAUUCCUCCUGUGGUCAAGCCUUGAAAAUAAUUUUGCUAAUUAAUUUUUCCUCUGAAUUUAAUUAUUGUCCAUUUUUUGCAGACCUGAAUGGAAUAAGUGACAGUGUCUUUACAUGAGUAUUGUUCGGAUUUCCUGCUGCUGUUAAACAUAAUAGUGAAAUUUCAAACAGCAGCAUCUAAAUCCAUGUUGUUCUUCCAGCUCUGUGAUUUUUGCAAGGGGAAAUUACAUCAGGGCAAAUAAACUGGCAGAGCUCGAGAAGGAGGUCAGUAUCUGGUUAGAAUUAUAUUUGAGAUGCUUUUCUGUUGAAACUGUUUUGCCCUUUUUCAGAUCUGAUCACAAGUUCCCAGCACAUAACAGCUCUCUGAAUUUAUUAAGGAGUUUGUCCAGGACAAGGUCAGGCUGUUUCAUCACUGGGGGGUUCUCUGAGAAGAAUAAGUUACCCAAGAAGGCAAUGACUCACUGAGAAGCAUUUUAGUGAUGAUCAGUUUCAACUA
rnacentral:lncRNA from 1 species